CCUACGGGCGGCAGCAGUGAGGAAUAUUGGUCAAUGGGCGCGAGCCUGAACCAGCCACGUCGCGUGAGGGAAGACGGUCCUCUGGAUUGUAAACCUCUUUUGUCGGGGAGCAAAAGACGCCACGCGUGGCGUUCCGAGAGUACCCGAAGAAACAGCAUCGGGUAACUCCGUGCCAGCAGCCGCGGUAAUACGGAGGAUGCGAGGGUUAUCCGGAUUUAUUGGGGUAAAAGGGUGAGCAGGCGGAAGAUCAAGUCAGCGGUAAAGUUGAGAGGCUCAACCUCUUCGAGCCGUUGAAACUGGUUGGCUUGAGUGAGUGAGAGGUAGGCGGAAUGCGUGGUGUAGCGGUGAAAUGCAUAGAUAUCACGCAGAACUCCGAUUGCGAAGGCAGCAUACCGGCGCUCAACUGACGCUCAGGCACGAAAGUGUGGGUAUCGAACAGGAUUAGAUACCCUUGUAGUC
rnacentral:rRNA from 1 species